CGGGCGGCCGUGACCCUGCUGGAGUGCGGGGGGGACCUCCAGCCCCCCGGGGGGUCCCUGCGCCUCCUCUGCCGAGGGGCCGGGUUCAGUUUUGCGGGUUCCACCCUCUACUGGGUCCGCCAGAGACCCGGGCAGGGGCUGGAAUACAUUGGAGGGAUCAAGAAUGAUGGAUCCAGCACAGCCUACGCGCCGUCGGUCAAGGGCCGGUUCACGAUCUCCAGGGACAACGGGCAGAGCUCGGUGACGCUGACCAUGAACAACCUCAAGGACGAGGAUUCCGGAUCCUAUUUCUGUGGGAAAUCUGCCUAUAAUAAUUGGGGUACUGGUGCUGGUGUGGAUGGUUGA